rnacentral:rRNA from 1 species
UUGGCGGACGGGUGAGUAACGCGUGGGUAACCUGCCUUGCACUGGGGGAUAACACUUAGAAAUAGGUGCUAAUACCGCAUAAGCGCACGGUCCUGCAUGGGAUAGUGUGAAAAACUCCGGUGGUGCAAGAUGGACCCGCGUCUGAUUAGCUGGUUGGCGGGGUAAAGGCCCACCAAGGCGACGAUCAGUAGCCGGCCUGAGAGGGUGGACGGCCACAUUGGGACUGAGACACGGCCCAAACUCCUACGGAAGGCAGCAG